rnacentral:rRNA from 1 species
AUGGUUACUGAGAACAACACAGAAGCUCCUAAAUGCAUGGGUUUGAGACUAAAGAAAAAUCCAGAUGAGGUAUCCCUGACAAACUCAUUCACAGCUGUUAAUGCAGAUACCACAGAUAGGGAAAUUUUGAAUGUAGACAGUACCAUUCAAAAGAACUGUGAUGAAGUUCUGCCUGGUUCACUUAAAGAGAAAGAAACUGAGAAUGUUGCAACAUCCUUGGGUUCAUGUGUGCUUGACUCCAACCAACUGGCAAGCAGUAAUGUGUCUCUGAUGCCACUUCAAGGUGUUAUAGUUGAUGCAGAUGUGAAGACCAACUGCCUACAUUCAUCAACUGAAGAAAAAGUUCAUCCGAGUGCAGUUAGUGAAGAUGUUACCAAACAUUCUGAUCUUGUUUCCCAGCUUAACAUCGCAGAAGAGCACAAGAAUUUCGGGUCUGGUAAACAUAUGAGAGAAGCUGUUCUUCAUACAUCAGUUAAUAGUGCUGGAAUAGGAAAGGUCUUACCAUCUGAAAAUCAGAAGAACCAGUCGUAUCCAUUCAAUGAAGGCGCAAACUUCUUUCAGAGAGGAAACACAGACCGUAACUUCAGGGCAGAUGUUCAUCACCGUAGGAACAUCUACGGAUCAGGAGGCAUGGGGAAUUCAGAGUAUGAAUUUCAGAGGAACCAGUCACAUCCAUUCAGUGAAGGUGGAAACUUCUUUCCGCUAGGAAGGGAAGACCCUAACUUAAGGGCAGGUGUUCAUCACAGUAUGGACAUGUAUGGAUUAGGAGGCAUGGGGAAUCCAGAGCAUGGGUUGCAGAGGAACCGGUCGUAUUCAUUCAAUGAAGGUGCAGACUUCUUUCAGUCAAGAAGGGCUGACCCUAACUUUAGGGCAGGUCUUCAUCACAAUAUGAACAUCUAUGGAUCAGGCGCCACGGGGAAUUCAGAACAUGGAUUUCAGAGAAACCAGUCGUAUCCAUUCGAUGAAGGUGCAAACUUCUUUCAGCUAGGAAGGCCAGACCCUAACUUUAGGGCAGGUGUUCAUCACAGCAUGAACAUCUAUGGAUCAGGCGCCAUGGGGAGUUCAGAGCAUGGAUUUCAGAGGAACCAGUCGUAUUUAUUCAAUGAAGGUGCAAACUUCUUUCAGCCAGGAAGACCAGACCCUAACUUUAGGGAAGGUGCUCAUCACAGUAUGAACAUGUAUGGAUCAGACGCCAGGAGGAAUUCAGAGCAUGGAUUUGGAAGAAGCUAUUUGGAUCAUACCAGUACCGAAAGAAAUGAAAUGCAGGAGAAAGAACGAACUUGCUUAUCAACAAAUCACAACAAUGACCAGAUAAGCCCUUCAAAUUUAGCUCAGGCAUAUAGCGAAAAGCUUAGAAUGUCCUUCCCUCCAAGAGAUUCCUUGACAGGGUUUCGGAAGAAAAAGCUUCUUAUUCUAGAUCUGAAUGGCCUUCUUGCGGAUAUCAAUGAAGAUUUCCACAAUGCUCACAUGGCUGAUGCAAAGGUUCGAAGGAAACUAGUCUUCCGAAGGCCUCACUGUGAUGAUUUUCUCAACUUCUGCAUAAAAAAUUUCGAGCUAGGUGUAUGGUCCUCAAGGAAAAGGAAAAAUGUUGAUUCUGUUGUUGACAUCCUUAUGAGAGAUUUCAAACCAUACCUACUGUUUUCUUGGGCCAGGGAUAAAUGCACAAUGACUGGACGUAACACACUGGAGAACGUGCACAAACCAAUAGUACUGAAGGAAUUGAAGAAACUGUGGAAUAAGGAAGAACCUGGUCUUCCAUGGAAGGAGGGGGAAUUUUCACCUUCCAAUACAUUACUUGUGGACGAUUCUCCUUACAAGGCUCUGCGUAAUCCGCCACAUACUGCCAUUUUUCCUCAGCCGUUCAGCUAUCUUAACCGGAACGACAAUUCAUUGGGUCCCGGUGGAGAUCUUCGCAUGUAUCUGGAGAAACUCGUUUUUGCAGAUGAUGUUGAGUGCUACGUUCGCAACAAUCCAUUUGGUCAACCUUUUCUUACACAUAGUGAUCCACAUUGGGACUUCUAUGCUGAAAUAGCUGGUAAAGAGUAUGGCGCAUUGACUUGUGCCUGA